rnacentral:sRNA from 1 species
GGGGUCGCUCUUCGCUCCUCAGCGCGACGUCGUGUCGAGUUCCCAAAAAGCUCCGCAGGGGCUGUGGGGAGGCAUACAAGAAUUAAAUUCUGAAUAAGUCUGGAGGUAGGAUGGACAGUUAUUUUAAAGCAGCUGUCAGUGACUUGGACAAACUCCUUGAUGAUUUUGAACAGAACCCAGAUGAACAAGAUUAUCUCCAAGAUGCACAAAAUGCAUAUGAUUCUAACCACUGCUCAGUUUCUUCAGAGUUGGCUUCCUCACAGCGAACUUCAUUGCUCCCAAAAGACCAAGAAUGCGUUAAUAGUUGUGCCUCAUCAGAAACAAGCUAUGGAACAAAUGAGAGUUCCCUGAAUGAAAAAACACUCAAGGGACUUACUUCUGUACAAAAUGAAAAAAAUGUAACAGGACUUGAUCUUCUUUCUUCUGUGGAUGGUGGUACUUCAGAUGAAAUCCAACCUUUAUAUAUGGGACGAUGUAGUAAACCUAUCUGUGAUCUGAUAAGUGACAUGGGUAACUUAGUUCAUGCAACUAGUAGUGAAGAAGAUAUUAAAAAAUUAUUGCCAGAUGAUUUUAAGUCUAAUGCAGAUUCCUUGAUUGGAUUGGAUUUAUCUUCAGUGUCAGAUACUCCCUGUGUUUCUUCAACAGACCAUGAUAGUGAUACUGUCAGAGAACAACAGAAUGAUAUCAGUUCUGAAUUACAAAAUAGAGAAAUCGGAGGAAUCAAAGAAUUGGGUAUAAAAGUAGAUACAACACUUUCAGAUUCCUAUAAUUACAGUAGAACAGAAAAUUUAAAAGAUAAAAAGAUCUUUAAUCAGUUAGAAUCAAUUGUUGAUUUUAACAUGUCGUCUGCUUUGACUCAACAAAGUUCCAAAAUGUUUGAUGCCAAAGACAAGCUACAACACAAGAGCCAGCCAUGUGAAUUACUAAAAGAUGAUGGCUUAGUAAAAGAGGAAGUAGAUGUGGCAGUCGUAACUGCCGCAGAAUGUUUAAAAGAAGAGGGCAAGACAAGUGCUUUGACCUGCAGCCUUCCGAAAAAUGAAGAUUUAUGCUUAAAUGACUUAAAUUCAAGAGGUGAAAAUUUCAAAUUACCUGACUUUUCCUUUCAGGAAGAUAAGACUGUUAUAAAACAAUCUGCGCAAGAAGACUCAAAAAAUUUAGACCUUAAGGAUAAUGAUGUAAUCCAAGAUUCCUCUUCAGCUUUACAUGUUUCCAGUGAAGAUGUACCGUCCUCAUUGUCCUGUCUUCCCACAUCUGGGUUUAUGUGUGGAUCAUUAAUUGAAAGUAAAGCAUGGGGUGAUUUUUUACCUCAGCAUGAACAUAAAGAUAAUAUACAAGAUGCAGUGACUAUACAUGAAGAAAUACAGAACAGUGUUGUUCUAGGUGGGGAACCAUUCAAAGAGAAUGAUCUUUUGAAACAGGAAAAAUGUAAAAGCAUACUCCUUCAGUCAUUAAUUGAAGGGAUGGAAGACAGAAAGAUAGGUCCUGACCAGACAGUAAUCAGAGCUGAGUCUUUGGAUGGUGGUGACACCAUUUCUACAGUUGUAGAAUCUCAAGAGGGGCUUUCUGGCACGAAUGUCCCAGAGUCUUCUGAUUGUUGUGAAGGUUUUAUUAAUACUUUUUCAAGCAAUGAUAUGGAUGGGCAAGACUUAGAUUACUUUAAUAUUGAUGAAGGUGCAAAAAGUGGCCCACUAAUUAGUGAUGCUGAACUUGAUGCCUUUCUGACAGAACAGUGUCUUCAGACCACUAACAUAAAGUCUUUUGAAGAAAAUGUAAAUGACUCUAAAUCACAAAUGAAUCAGAUAGAUAUGAAAGGCUUAGAUGAUGGAAACAUCAAUAAUAUAUAUUUCAACGCAGAAGCGGGAGCUAUUGCGGAAAGUCAUGGUAUUAAUAUAAUUUGUGAAACAGUUGAUAAACAAAAUACAAUAGAAAAUGGCCUUUCUUUAGGAGAAAAAAGCACUAUUCCAAUUCAACAAGGGUUACCUACUAGUAAGUCUGAGAUUACAAAUCAAUUAUCAGUCUCUGAUAUUAACAGUCAAUCUGUUGGAGGGGCCAGACCUAAGCAAUUGUUUAGCCUUCCAUCAAGAACAAGGAGUCCAAAGGACCUGAAUAAGCCAGAUGUUCCAGAUACAAUAGAAAGUGAACCCAGCACAGCAGAUACUGUUGUUCCAAUCACUUGUGCUAUAGAUUCUACAGCUGAUACACAGGUUAACUUCAACUCUAAUUACAUUGAUAUAGAAAGUAAUUCUGAAGGUGGAUCUAGUUUUGUAACUGCAUUUGAAGAUUCUGUACCUGAAAACACUUGCAAAGAAGGCUUGGUUUUGGGCCAGAAACAGCCUACUUGGGUUCCUGAUUCAGAAGCUCCAAACUGUAUGAACUGCCAAGUCAAAUUUACUUUUACAAAACGGCGACACCAUUGCCGAGCAUGUGGGAAAGUAUUUUGUGGUGUCUGUUGUAAUAGGAAGUGUAAACUGCAAUAUCUAGAAAAGGAAGCAAGAGUAUGUGUAGUCUGCUAUGAAACUAUUAGUAAAGGUGAGUAUUAACUUGAUAUAUUUUCUUCCAGUAAUUGAAUAUAUCUUAAAAUUAAUUGGAUUGUGACAAAGAUAAACUUCUUUAUUUUCUUAAGGCAAGGACCUAGUGUUGAAUUAUCUGGCUUAGGUGGGACAUCCCAAGGCUUGGUUUCUCUUCUUUUUGUUCCACUCUCACAAUUAAUACUACCAAUCUGGAAAGGAAGCAUUCAGUUUCUGGAGUGGCAGUUCAUUAACUUUUAACAGGUACCAAGUCCCUAAAUGCUGCAUUUCAUCUGCCUAUUUGUUUUUGUCAUCAUCAUUGUCAUGUUAAUCAUCUUAAUCUAAAUAAACACUUGUAGAUACCUA